UUCCGGUUGAUCCUGCCGGAAGUCACUGCUAUUGGGAUUCGACUAAGCCAUGCGAGUCGAGAGGGUUCGGCCCUCGGCGAACUGCUCAGUAACACGUGGAUAAUUUGCCCUUAGGUGAGGAUAACCUCGGGAAACUGAGAAUAAUACUCCAUAGGUCUAGGAUGCUGGAAUGCACCUAGGUUGAAAGUUCCGGCGCCUAAGGACGAGUCUGCGGACUAUCAGGUAGUAGUCAGGGUAAAGACCUGACUAGCCUACGACGGAUACGGGUUGUGAGAGCAAUAGCCCGGAGACGAUAUCUGAGACACGAUAUCGGGCCCUACGGGGCGCAGCAGGCGCGAAAUCUUCACAAUGUGCGAAAGCACGAUGAGGGGAUCCCAAGUGUUGGCUCGUAAGAGUCAUCUGUUUCUUUGUCUAAAAAACAGAGAGAGUAAGAGCUGGGUAAGACGGGUGCCAGCCGCCGCGGUAAUACCUGCAGCUCAAGUGGUGGCCGCUAUUAUUGGGCCUAAAACGUCCGUAGCCGGUUUAGUAAAUGCCUGGGUAAAUUGUGUAGCUCAACUAUACGAAUACCGGGUAGACUGCUAAACUUGGAACCGGGAGAGGCUAGAGGUACUCCUAGGGUAGAGGUGAAAUUCUGUAAUCCUAGGGGGACCACCAGUGGCGAAGGCGUCUAGCUAGAACGGGUUUGACGGUGAGGGACGAAGCCCUGGGGCGCAAACCGGAUUAGAUACCCGGGUAGUCCAGGGUGUAAACGCUGCUCGCUUGAUGUUAGUCGGGCUCCGAGCCCAACUAGUGUCGGAGAGAAGUUGUUAAGCGAGCUGCCUGGGAAGUACUGGUCGCAAGGCUGAAACUUAAAGGAUUUGGCGGGGG
rnacentral:rRNA from 1 species